GACGAGGGGUCCAAGCGUUGUUCGGAAUCAUUGGGCGUAAAGCGGGCGUAGGCGGCUCUAUAAGUCAGGAGUGAAAGCCCCGAGCUUAACUCGGGAAGUGCUUUUGAUACUGCAGAGCUUGAAUGUGGGAGAGGGUAGUGGAAUUCCGAGGUGUAGUGGUGAAAUACGUAGAUAUCUGGAGGAACACCGGUGGCGAAGGCGGCUACCUGGCCCAACAUUGACGCUGAGGCCCGAAAGCGUGGGGAGUCAAAC
rnacentral:rRNA from 1 species